GCCAGGGUGGCAGAAUCCGGUAACGCGUGCGCCUGGAAAGCGCAUGGCCGCAAGGCCUUUAGGGUUCAAAUCCCUACCCUGGCG
rnacentral:tRNA from 1 species